UACAGAAGCCUCAAGCGUUACCCGGAUUUACUGGGCGUAAAGGGUGUGUAGGUGGUGUGAUUAGUCUUGCGUUAAAUCUUCGGGCUUAACCCGGAACUCGCGUGAGAAACGGUCAUACUAGAGGAAGUGAGAGGUGUGUGGAACUCAAGGUGUAGGGGUGAAAUCCGUUGAUAUCUUGGGGAACACCAAAAGCGAAGGCAACACACUGGCACUCUCCUGACACUGAAACACGAAAGCGUGGGUAGCGAAUCGG
rnacentral:rRNA from 1 species